rnacentral:lncRNA from 1 species
CCUGAAGCUGCUCCUGUGAUCCCAGCUCUGAGCCCUUAGAAGGGCUUUUGAGUAAAAGUCCAGCUCUCUGAGGUGACUCAGAAGAAAAAGACAGAGAUUUCAUAAUAGAUCUCUCAGAAGGUUUUAAUCAGCUCCUUCCUCCAAUAAAUGCCAUAACAAAUAGCUCAGGAUACAGAGAAAAGAGAGGGUUUUAUCCCUGAGGGCUGGGGGCAGGGCAAAGGGGAAGAACCAAUGUGACACCUAGAAUCGACGUAGGCUGCAAGCAUGCCGGGAGGUGACUUCUUUUCCCCACCACAACUAGGGGCUAUUAACCAGGGUUUCUCCCCAAGGGGGCGGGUGGCAAACUGAAUCUUAAGGGUUGCCACUCCAGGGGGGAGUGGUUACCCUGCUGGUCAGCUCACUGCCUCCUACAGCUGUGGAGUGCAGAAUCGAAUUGCUUUUUAUGGACACAAGUUGGUUGUGUGCUCUGAAACUCAUUUUAUUUGCUCACUUAACAUCUGAAAACAUAAUUUUGACGAAAAGUGAAGAGUACUCAUCAUCUGCUGGUCUUCCAAGACAAGAAGCAACCUGCAGUCAGAAGGAAGAAGGGACUGAAUUCACUCCAAAAGUAUUUCUCCGGGAUCUUUUUUCAAGUACUGUGGAGCUCAUGAAUUCCAACUACAGCUGGGACUCUGGCGCUUGUACAAAGACACUGCAGCUCUUUCAGUUGGAAUGA